UUUUCUGUUCCCCUGGGGCCACCCAGGAAUUCUUUGCUCUUGUUAAACCAUUAUGCUGUGCCUCUUCCGCUCACCUGGUCCUGUCACUCAGGCCUCACUAGCCAAUCAGAGCCUCUAGCGGACCCGCCAGUCAGAUGGGCGGGUUCUUCCUGGAGCCAGGUUUUCUGCUCAGCUCUUUGCCUCAGGAAGUUAGAAGUUGUCUUCUGUCCUGUGCCUUUGGUUCUGGGGAGAACAUUGGUCAUCUCAGCAGCUGCACUAUGAUUUGCUUUGUGACCAAGUGGAUAAUUUUAGAGAAGAUCCCAUGAUGUGUUGAGAAGAAGGAAGAGUGGACUUUGCUGGAUCCUUCCCAGAAGAAUCUCCAUAAAGAUGUGAUGGUGGAGACUUAGGAACCUCACUGCUAUAGAGUCAUACAGGAUCACCAUGAAAACAGCAAGGCAACAGGUGUCAGAUAUGGCAGAUAUAGCAGGAUGCUAAGAUCUCACAUCCUCAACCUGCAGAAUGAACCAGACAGUGGGAACUGGAAAUGGUAUGCAGAUGUCAAUUAUAAAACCAUACCCCCAGUGACAUAUUACCUCCAGCAGGGCAUCAUUUCCUUAAUCAUCUCAAAUGAUACCACCAACUGGGAAGUAUUGAUUUCUCUGACUUCAGACCUACAUGCUCGCUUUUUGUUAUAUGAAGCAGAUCAUGAUACAGAAAAACUGUAGGUAAGCUUUUAUCAGCCUCAACAUCUGGGUUAUAGGAUUGGAAAUGUUUAAUGAUUUUUGUUAAUUUUUAUUUUGUUAUCCAGUGUGUCUUUAGAUAUGUGCAUGUUCUUAGAAUGGUAAAUCCUUUAGUCUUCAUGUAUUUAUUUCUAACAGAAAUUAUAGAAUGUUGUUAAAAAACUCACCUUGAUUCUGGGAAGGGAUUUGUCUUAACUGCUUGACCCUGUCUUUAUCCCUCUCAAUAUUUUAGACCUUGGUUUCAAUGAAAAGAAUCUGUUUCAUCUAUUUCAUUCAAUUAUGUUGGCAGAGAUCACAGCAUUGUAGUUUCAGAUUUUGAAAGUUUUGUAUGAGGUAUUAAAAUGUCCUGUAUAUGUGGCAAAUCCACAUACUGAAGUUUAUUUGCUAGUUCAUGUAUUCCUGGGCUGAACCAAGGACAUGUGUACUUUACCACAGAUGCACCCAGGGGUAAAGGGGGCUCAGAGGUCCUCCACCCACACCCAGGCUGUUCUUGUUCCUCAGGGGUUCUGCAGCAUUCUUUUUUUUGUAAGUUUGUAGUAUUAAACUAAUUUGGAAGAUGAAGUUGGCUUUGCCAUGCAACUCUUAAUGUGCUGGCUAACUGGCAUUUGAAGCUGGUAUGUUUUUUGAAUAAUUUGCCUUAUCUUAUUCUCAAAUUCCUGCCGUCCCCGCACCUGUAACUGGCAUUAAUCCUUCACUCCUCCUGUCUCCUUUCCCCCUGCCUCUUCCGUCCCCUACUUCCUUCGAAGCUUCCUCCUAAGCUUCCCUGGGUCGUUUCCCUCUCUGGCCCCUUGUCCUCUGCCUUCUUUCCCCCCCUCCUCAUGUCCUUCCCUUCCCUGUCCUCUGCUCAGGUACAUUUGAUGAAGUAACACAGAGUUCGUAUGUUCAUCUGUGCUGUCUUCCCCAAUUAAUGCUAGUGUAAAAGCAGCCAUUGUAGAACUUGUUCCACCUGACACCCCAAAUAAAAUCAAUACAAAGAGGAGCUUGUGCUGCUGCAUGUGAA